UUACGGCCAUAUCACGAUGAAACACCGGAUCUCGUACGAUUACCGAAGUUAAACAACGUCGAGCUUGGUCAGUACCUAGAUGGGUGACUGCUUGGGAAUACCAGGUGUUAUA
rnacentral:rRNA from 1 species